CCUGUGCAGUUCUCAUAGGUACUAGAAACCCAGAUUCCCACAUGGGAGCAUCCUAUCUCCAGCAGGCCCUGCAUAGGGCUCCAGGCAGUCGUGCCACAUUCCCACAGUGGUUUUGUUUUGAGUUUUUUGGUGUUUUCAUUUGUUUUAGCCACUUUACUGGUGGUAACUUGUUUUAAUUUCUUCCCCCCGCCCAUGACUGAGGUUAGUGCAAUUUGUGAUCAAUCGAUCUUUUUAAAAAAAUCUGUACUUCCCGGACCCCUGGGUGGCUCAGUGGUUGAGCAUCUGCCUUCAGCUCAGGGCAGGGUCUCAGGAUCCUGAAUCAAGUCCCACAUCGGGCUCCCUGUGGGGAAGCCUGCUUCUCCCUCUGCCUAGGUCUCUGCUCUCUCUCUCUCUCUCUCUUUGAGUCUCUCAUGAAUAAAUAAAUAAAUCUUAAAAAAAAAAAUCUGUACUUCCACCCAGAACCCACUGUAUUUUUUUUUCAGAUUUUUUUUUUUUUGCAGUAAUCUCUAUAUCCAACGUGAGGCUCAAAUGCACAACCCGGAGAUCAAGAGUCACAUGCUCUACCGACUUGACUCAGCCAGGUGAUCCCACUGGAUUCUUUUCUUUUCCUUUUUUAAAGAUUCGUUUUAUUUAUUUAUUUAUUUAUUUAUUUAUUUAUUUAUUUGAGCGAGAAAGAGAGCGAGCACUGAGCAGGGAGCCCAAUGCAGGGCUCGAUCCCAGGACCCUGGGAUCCUGACCUGAGUGGAAGGCAAACCCUUAACCAACUGAGCCACCCAGGCACCCCUCCCACUGGAUUGUUUUAAAACAAUCCCAGACAUUAUAUCAUUUCCUCCAAAAAUACUUCCAGGGUGUAUACCUAAAAGAUAAGGUUCUCUCUCCCUCUCUCCCUCUCUCCCUUUUUUAGCAAAACCACAAUACCCUGUCAUACUUGAACGUUCAUUUGAUCUGUUAUUUUGGAAUAUUCCAGCUAGACAGUCCCGCAGGCUGCAGACAAGGGUGGAUUCUUUUGGGCAGAGGCAGCCCCCCCUCACCCUCCGGCUCCUCUGGGUCCUCCCCCACAACUCACACACACACACACACACCCAUACACACGCCCCUUGGUUGCCUGGCCCUAUUUCUUUUCAAAGGCUGCUAGAUGUGUCUCCCUCCAGGGUCGGUGAAGGAUCUCCAGAUGGCUGGGUGAAAACUUGCUCUAAAAACCAUUGACUGGGUAGCUUUUGGGGAGAUCAUACCCCCAAACCAGAAGGCCAUUGCCAACU
rnacentral:lncRNA from 12 species